ensembl:lncRNA
CUGAAAACAAAUACUUCAUAUCUGAAUUCCUCGAUCUUUAUGCAACUUUGCCAUUUUACUUCUGAUAAUGGGAGAACAAUUGAAAGACAUUGCUGUAGUUCUUCUCAUGUUUGUCUGUUUGCUUGUCUCUUGCUGCUAGAAUUGCAAUCAGUAUUCCAAGAUCUGCAGCUUCAGGAAAAAUGUCAGCUGGAUUUCACAGAUGCAGUGUUUGUGGGUGUACAUGAUGCUGUGCCUCCAAGGGGGUUUUCCAUGCCAACGGAACUGAUGUGGCUGUCAUCCAGGUUCCAUUCGAAGACCCCAUUGUUCCAAGAACUCUCCGGAAUUCGACCCAGCGACCUUUCAAUUACUGGCUCAAUGCUCUAACUGCUAGGCUACCUUACGCCACUACUGCCUGGUCAUGGCUCGGUUCAAUGACAUUUCCUUCAAAAGGCACCUGCACAGAGGGCAUCAGCUUUCAGCGGGGCAUCCAACCGUUCAACUACAUGUGGGAGGUUGGUGUCGGACCUGACCUGGCUAUGCAUCCUAGGUACAUUAUGCUCUAUGAAAACCAGUGACCAUGGACGUUUCUCUCCACCACCAGAUACAUCUGAGAGGUCAGCCAAGACGCUGGAAGUUCAGCAUGCCUCUACCAAACGCUGCCUCGUCACAACUACUGAGCUGAUCUGCGAGACUAGUGUCUUCCACAGAAGGGGUGAAGACUGACAACAAACUUGACUCUGGCCAUCAUUGGUGCAGAACCUCCCUCCUGGACUCCACCUGCAGGCCCCAAGAGACUGUUGACACCCACCAGGGUUCUAACUUUGGACUCUACACCUAUGGACUACCAGUGGUGAAUGGGAUCGUGUUCUACAAGCAAUAUUCACCCGAAGACAGGCUUGUCAUCAGACAUCUUAUAGCACUGCCCUGAAGCGGAACAGAGACUUGAUCCCCUUUUCCUCCAGUGACUGAUCAGAAUAUAUUCCUUGCGCCCCGCUCAGCCAAGAAGUCAUGGACGCCUCAAAUAAAUGGAUAGGGUCUGAUAUUGAACUGAAAUACUUACCAGUGCAGCACGAAAUGACCAAGUCCACCAUCAUGACUACCAAUCCUGCCUGGAGAACAGUAUUGGAUGGACCACCGCCACACCGUUCACCAAGAAGUUCAGAACGGAGGCACAGCUGUGUGGAGAAAUGAAGAGAAAAGGCUAGUUUGAGCAGCAGAAACAAUUCCAUCAGCAGAAAGGAGCAACAACUGCCAUUAUCACUUGUUUCUAUGCUCCCACUAUGACCUCACACCAUUAUCACUUGUUUCUAUGCUCCCACUAUGACCUCACCAUUAUCACUUGUUUCUAUGCUCCCACUAUGACCUCACACACCUGCUAAACUGCCACAGACAAAAGAGACCCAACUCGUGUUUGUUGGGCUCGUCACUGUUGCACCUGUCGUGAUUGUUAACCAGCUCCAUUUUUGCAAAUCUUAUAAUAAAAUAAAUUGAGGAA